AUUGAACGCUGGCGGCAUGCCUUACACAUGCAAGUCGAACGGCAGCACGGGAGCAAUCCUGGUGGCGAGUGGCGAACGGGUGAGUAAUACAUCGGAACGUGCCCAGUAGUGGGGGAUAGCCCGGCGAAAGCCGGAUUAAUACCGCAUACGACCUACGGGUGAAAGCGGGGGAUCGCAAGACCUCGCGCUAUUGGAGCGGCCGAUGUCAGAUUAGCUAGUUGGUGGGGUAAAAGCCUACCAAGGCGACGAUCUGUAGCUGGUCUGAGAGGACGACCAGCCACACUGGGACUGAGACACGGCCCAGACUCCUACGGGAGGCAGCAGUGGGGAAUUUUGGACAAUGGGCGCAAGCCUGAUCCAGCCAUGCCGCGUGUGGGAAGAAGGCCUUCGGGUUGUAAACCACUUUUGUCAGGAAAGAAACGGUCUGAUCUAAUAAAUCGGACUAAUGACGGUACCUGAAGAAUAAGCACCGGCUAACUACGUGCCAGCCGCCGCGGUAAGAC
rnacentral:rRNA from 1 species